ACAUGCUUACAACAUAGCAUUAAUGCAACAGAUCCCAUUAGAACUCCACAAUUAAGUAUGCUCGGGCUAGAGUAGUACUGUGAUGGGUGACCUGACCAUCUAAUAGUCCUAGUAUUUUACAUGCC
rnacentral:rRNA from 1 species